rnacentral:sRNA from 1 species
AGCCUAAACCUUUAGGAAUAAAGGCAUGGUGAAAGUAAGUCAGAUCGUGCAUAAAGAACCCAUCAUCAUGGGGUUGCACGAUCUGCCGUAUCUGGAAACGGAUAUGAGAGGCUUCGGUCUCU